rnacentral:rRNA from 1 species
GACGAACGCUUGCGGCGUGCUUAACACAUGCAAGUCGAACGGAAAGGCCCUGCUUUUGUGGGGUGCUCGAGUGGCGAACGGGUGAGUAACACGUGAGUAACCUGCCCUUGACUUUGGGAUAACUUCAGGAAACUGGGGCUAAUACCGGAUAGGAGCUCCUGCUGCAUGGUGGGGGUUGGAAAGUUUCGGCGGUUGGGGAUGGACUCGCGGCUUAUCAGCUUGUUGGUGGGGUAGUGGCUUACCAAGGCUUUGACGGGUAGCCGGCCUGAGAGGGUGACCGGCCACAUUGGGACUGAGAUACGGCCCAGACUCCUACGGGAGGCAGCAGUGGGGAAUAUUGCACAAUGGGCGGAAGCCUGAUGCAGCAACGCCGCGUGCGGGAUGACGGCCUUCGGGUUGUAAACCGCUUUCGCCUGUGACGAAGCGUGAGUGACGGUAAUGGGUAAAGAAGCACCGGCUAACUACGUGCCAGCAGCCGCGGUGAUACGUAGGGUGCGAGCGUUGUCCGGAUUUAUUGGGCGUAAAGGGCUCGUAGGUGGUUGAUCGCGUCGGAAGUGUAAUCUUGGGGCUUAACCCUGAGCGUGCUUUCGAUACGGGUUGACUUGAGGAAGGUAGGGGAGAAUGGAAUUCCUGGUGGAGCGGUGGAAUGCGCAGAUAUCAGGAGGAACACCAGUGGCGAAGGCGGUUCUCUGGGCCUUUCCUGACGCUGAGGAGCGAAAGCGUGGGGAGCGAACAGGCUUAGAUACCCUGGUAGUCCACGCUGUAAACGGUGGGUACUAGGUGUGGGGUCCAUUCCACGGGUUCCGUGCCGUAGCUAACGCUUUAAGUACCCCGCCUGGGGAGUACGGCCGCAAGGCUAAAACUCAAAGGAAUUGACGGGGCCCCGCACAAGCGGCGGAGCAUGCGGAUUAAUUCGAUGCAACGCGUAGAACCUUACCUGGGUUUGACAUGGAUCGGGAGUGCUCAGAGAUGGGUGUGCCUCUUUUGGGGUCGGUUCACAGGUGGUGCAUGCCUGUCGUCAGCUCGUGUCGUGAGAUGUUGGGUUAAGUCCCGCAACGAGCGCAACCCUUGUUCACUGUUGCCAGCACGUUAUGGUGGGGACUCAGUGGAGACCGCCGGGGUCAACUCGGAGGAAGGUGGGGAUGACGUCAAGUCCUCAUGCCCCUUAUGUCCAGGGCUUCACGCAUGCUACAAUGGCUGGUACAGAGAGUGGCGAGCCUGUGAGGGUGAACGAAUCUCGGAAAGCCGGUCUCAGUUCGGAUUGGGGUCUGCAACUCGACCUCAUGAAGUCGGAGUCGCUAGUAAUCGCAGAUCAGCAACGCUGCGGUGAAUACGUUCCCGGGGCU